rnacentral:lncRNA from 1 species
GGAGGCCGGGUGGGGCCACUUGGCCGGGCAGCCACGCCGCGGUCUGGGACUGUCCUGAAGGUGAAUUCCAGUGCCCCGGAAGGAAUGACAGGCAGCGGAGUCCUGCCAUCUCCUCCGAAAAAUGAAGCUGCUGAAAAGAAAAUAGAAAGAAUCACAAAGACCUCUGCCUUAGAAGUGUACAGACUCUGAGAAGCCAAGCUGUUUACCACAGCAGACUGGGGACCGCUCAACCCAGGGUCUGCUGUGGGAUGAGAUCAACUACCAUUGCCAUGUUGUUUGCUGUUUGGAGCUGGUAUGAUUCUAGGUUUGGUUGGAAGGCUGCAGGGUACAUGCUUGGUUUAAUGGAGGUCAUGGCUAUUGCUAGAGAGCCUAGAAGUCACUGCUCCACUGAAGGUGUUCAGUGUUGAGAUUUUCAGGCCAAAGACUUCUGGAAAAAGUCACAUUAAU